AUUGAACGCUGGCGGCAUGCCUAAUACAUGCAAGUCGAACGGUAAUAGCUUUUCGGUUGCUGACCUGUCACGCACGGGAACGUAAUACAUCGGAACGUGGCCCGACGUGGUGGAUAAUGAGGCGACAGCUUUGCUAAUACCGCAUACGACCUAAGGCUGAAAGCAGUGGACGGUAAGGACAUGCGCUGUCGGAGCGGUCGAUGGCAGAUUAGGUAGUUGGUGGGAUAAGAGCUUACCAAGCCGACGAUCUGUAGCUGGUUUGAGAGGACGACCGGCCACACUGGGACUGAGACACGGCCCAGACUCCUACGGGAGGCAGCAGUGGGGAAUUUUGGACAAUGGGCGAAAGUCUGAUGCAGCAAUGCCGCGUGAAGGAUGAAGGCUUUCGGGUUGUAAACUGCUUUUGUACGGGAAGAAAGGGAUCUGGCUAAUACCUGGGGCACAUGACGGUACCGAAAGAGUAAGCACCGGCUAACUACGUG
rnacentral:rRNA from 1 species